rnacentral:pre_miRNA from 1 species
AGUGGGAUAACUGGGUCAAAUGGUGGCUCCAUUCCAGGUUUUUUGAGGAAUCUCUAUACUGCUUGCCAGAGUGGUUGUACCAAUUUGCAGACCCACAAGCAUU